rnacentral:misc_RNA from 1 species
UCUCCGUAGGUGAACCUGCGGAAGGAUCAUUAAAGAGAUCAUGCCCUCACGGGUACACCUCCCACCCUUUGUUUACAAUACCUUUGUUGCUUUGGCGGGCCCGUUUGGCCCCGCGCUGAACAACCGGCCCCGGCUGGUCAGUGCCCGCCAGAGAACCGAAAACUCUGAAUUAAAUGUCGUCUGAGUACUAUGUAAUAGUUAAAACUUUCAACAACGGAUCUCUUGGUUCUG